UACCUUCAUGGUUGUUGCAGGCUCACCAGAGAAGAGGGACCUUAGAUUCAGGAGCACCUCAUUGAUGUAAGGCAGAACAAGCCUGAGCAGCCAGAUGGCCUCCUCCUCCCCCACCAGGUACCUUUCACCACUCCUCUCAGCAUCAUCACAGUCCACAUUCUCUCCCCUGAAUUGAUGAUCAAAUAAAAGAUUAGCUCACUUUCAACAAGCUGGUUAAUUAUGUGAUUAUUAUUCAGAUAAUCUGGAUAACAAUCAUUACUACCUGUUAAGUAUGGACUUGCUAAGGAACCUUAGACCAAGGUAGACUAGGCCAAGAUAUGAAGCUGCUGUGAUUGUGCUGCAAGAUUUAUAAAUUUGAAGGGAAAGGUCAACAAAUUUUGACAGUUAAACAGCUUUGAGAAUUCAGACUUAACAAAGUGACAGUGCAGUAAUAAAUACUGAACAGUGGCUUACUUAUAGUUUAGGUCUUUGGCAUAGGAGGAGGAGAUCAGUAAAAAAGUCCCUAAUCCAAAGACAAGUGUAGACUUGGAGACAUCUCUCCACAUGACCAAAUCCACU
rnacentral:sRNA from 1 species